UUUCUUUUUUCCUCCAUUACUCCACCCCUUCCCCCUUUUUCCUUUUGUUGCAUCUGUGUCCAGAGGAGAUUUCUGCAUGGUGAACCUCCUUGAGCUCACCCAACACCCCCCUCCUUCCCCCAAACAUGAGGGACGCAAGUCACAGGACAUCGGUCAGGACCACCAGAGAGGGCUAGGUCAUUGAUGAGGCUGAGUGUCCUGUGCUGAAUCAUCUCACCCUGCCCUGCACGACGUUCAGUUCUCCAGGAGAUGACACCCAUGCGUGUAAGCACACCUCAAAGCCUGAGUGCACCGCAAAGCCACUGCUGACAGGAAGUGAAGAGCUCUGAAGAAAGCAGCCAGUUCCUGUAAUCUGCCUUGCUGACGCCGUUUCAUUACACGCCGCUGUUUUCAGAGAGUUGCUGCUUUCAGCCUGGAAAUAACCCCAUAAAUAUGUAUGAUGACUAUUCAUAUCCGUAAAAAUUUAUAUUCUUCCUUUAAAUGGAGCAGUAUUAACGGGGAAAAUGUGUGUUAAUUUCAGAUUUUAAAUUUAAAUGUGUGUUUCUUUUUUCAAAUAUUUCAGUGGAAUUAGAAUUAGAAUAUUCUAAUGUGGAAUUAGAAUAUUUCACCAUAGCUACAGACAUCCAUGUGAAAUAUUAACAGAUGUGCAAUAUA